rnacentral:rRNA from 1 species
UACAGAGGUCUCAAGCGUUAAUCGGAAUUACUGGGCUUAAAGGGUCCGCAGGCGGACCAGCAAGUACCUUGUGAAAUCUCAGGUCUCAACCCUGAGUCUGCUAGGUAUACUGCUGGUCUUGAGUGCAAAAGGGGUAGCUGGAACUCUAGGUGGAGCGGUGAAAUGCGUAGAUAUCCGGAGGAACACCGGUGGCGAAGGCGGCAUCCUGGACCGACACUGACGCUGAGGCGCGAAAGCCAGGGGAGCAAACGGG